CGGAGGGGGGGAGGUUCGAUGUUGACGAUGGGAUGGAUCGGGGGAAAGCGUUUAGAGAGAGAAAGAGAAAGAGAGAGAGAGAGAGAGUUGACGGGGGGGAUUGGGUGGGUGCGUGGGGGUGGGUUAGCGUGUGGGGCUGGGGUUGGGUUGGGUGCGGUCCCGUGCGCUGCAAUUAGCCCACCCUCCCCUUGCCUCCCCCUAUCUUUUUGCGUGCCUCCAACUUACUUUUUCCCCCCAUCUUUUCCCUCCAUCCUUUUAUUUAUUUAUUUUUUUUAUCUAUUUUAUUAUAAUUGUUAAUUAUUGUUAUUAGUAUUAUUAGUCUUUUUU
rnacentral:lncRNA from 1 species